ACGCGCUGGUCCCUAGGCGGACGCGGCUCCUGCGGCGCCGCGCGUGGAGAGCCGGCGGGGAGCGCAGCUUCGCGCGCUUCUAGCCAUGGCCUCGUUACGCACUGCCAGCCCCGCGCUGAGGAGCUACUUCAAGGAGAACUACAUUCCUCAGGUCUUCGAGGCUCUGUUAUGUGGUGUACUUGUUACGUGCCCUGAGGACCCACUGAGAUAUUUAGAGGAAACGAUCAUUACUAUAAUGGAAAGCGGUCUCGAAAGUCUUCUUUGGGAUAUGUACAUUGAUCCAUCAAUGAAACCAAAAAUUCGGAGAUUGUCUGAAACUUACAUGGAACGUCUUUUUGGACUGGAUGAUCAGCUGAUAACUCCAGAAUUGAUGAUAAAAGCCUGUACUUUUUAUACUGGACGUUUAGUAAAGACCCACUUUUGCACUUGGAGAAAUAUAGCAAUAUCUCGUACAAAUGAAGACGACGUGCUGGCUGAAAAAAUGGAAAAAGCAACGAAAUAUGCCAAUUUCAGACUUCAAAAAUAUAUAUUUCACCAUUGGCACUCUCAUGCGAAAGUUCGAAAAGAGCAACUUAAUGAUAUGCUGUUGCGGAUCCAGGGGAAGUUCCACCAUUACAAGCUAAUAAUCAUCCUAAAUAAAUGGAGGGAGAAGGCAAGACAUAGGUAUAAGAAGAGAGAAGAUGAGCUGAUGUUAAAACAUGAACUUCAGUUGAAAAAAUGGAAGAGCAACUUGAAAGGCAAGACAGCUGCUGAAGAAAAAUUCAUUUUUCCUGAACGAAGUAUGUCUGAAGUCUUUCUUAUAGGUCGCUGUGACAUUUCAGCAUUACCGGAAAGAGCAGUAUCACGGAUUUUCUCGCACCUCAGUUUAAGAGAUACGGUAGUAUGCGGUCAAGUUAGUCGCUCCUGGUUGCUGAUGACACAAAUAAGGUCAUUGUGGAAUGCUAUUGAUUUUUCCUCAGUAAAGCACAUGGCCACAGAUAAAUAUAUAGUGUCUACUCUGCAAAGGUGGCGUCUGAAUGUGCUGCGCUUGAAUUUUCGAGGAUGUGCUCUCCGACAGAAAACUUUGAGAUCUGUCAGUCUCUGUAAAAAUUUGCAAGAGCUGAAUGUCUCCGACUGCCCAACCCUCACGGAUGAGUCAAUGAGAUACAUCUCUGAGGGCUGUCCUGGGGUCCUGUAUCUCAAUCUAUCCAACACCAAUAUCAGCAACCGGACCAUGCGACUCCUGCCGAGGUACUUCCACAACUUACAAAAUCUCAACCUGGCUUACUGCAGAAAGUUCACGGACAAAGGUUUACGGUACCUGAAUUUAGGGAACGGAUGCCACAAGCUCAUCUAUUUGGACCUUUCCGGCUGCACCCAGAUUUCAGUCCAAGGCUUCAGGAAUGUUGCAAACAGCUGCACUGGAAUAAUGCAUCUGACCGUGAAUGACAUGCCAACUCUGACGGACAACUGCAUAAAAGCUUUAGUUGAAAGAUGCCCUCGUCUCUCAUCGAUAGUUUUCAUGGGUGCGCCACACAUCUCCGAUUGUGCUUUUAAAGCUCUUUCUUCCUGUAACCUCAGAAAGAUCCGAUUUGAAGCAGGAAAUAAAAGGAUUACUGACGCAUGCUUCAAAUUUAUAGACAAGAAUUACCCAAAUAUUAGUCACAUUUACAUGGCGGACUGCAAGGGAAUAACAGACGGGAGCCUCAGGUCGCUUUCACCUUUGAAGCAGCUGACCGUACUGAAUCUGGCGAAUUGUGUAAGAAUUGGUGAUGUAGGACUAAGGCAAUUUCUUGACGGCCCUGUGAGCAUAAGGAUAAGAGAGCUAAAUUUAAAUAACUGUGUCCACUUGGGUGAUGCCUCCAUGGUGAAACUAGCAGAACGCUGCCCUAAUUUACACUACUUGAGCCUACGAAAUUGUACACAUUUGACUGACAUAGGAAUUGCAUAUAUUGUAAACAUCUUUUCCUUGCUAUCAAUAGACCUCUCUGGAACAGACAUCUCUGAUGAGGGUUUGAUCACACUUUCCAGACAUAAAAAAUUAAGGGAACUCUCUCUAUCUGAGUGCAAUAAAAUCACCAAUCUUGGAGUUCAGGUGUUCUGCAAAGGCUCACUACUCUUGGAACACUUGGAUGUCUCUUAUUGCCCCCAGCUGUCAGAUGACAUUAUUAAAGUCCUGGCCAUUUAUUGCGUUUGCAUCACAUCUCUCAGCAUUGCUGGUUGUCCAAAGAUUACUGACUCGGCGAUGGAGAUGUUAUCGGCAAAAUGCCGUUACCUGCACAUUUUGGAUAUUUCUGGUUGUGUCCUGCUUACUGACCAAAUGCUCAAACACCUUCAGUUAGGCUGCAAACAACUCCGGAUCCUUAAGAUGAAUUACUGCAGACUUAUUUCCAAGGAGGCAGCUAGCAGAAUGUCACAGAAAGUUCAGCAGCAGGAAUACAGCCCCGGUGACCCUCCAAGCUGGUUUGGCUAUGACUGGGAAGGCAAUCCUCUUACAGAGCAACGUCGUAUAGGAUCACUUGAGGAAGAUUCAGAAUCGAUUCUGAAACAGUCAGUGUACAGCAGUGACGAGGAAGCAGUAUGACCUUCAGCCUUAAGGGGAAGAAGAAAAAAACCUAGAACUUGGCCACUUCACUUGAUGCAAAUAUUUUUACUAGCGGGAUCUCAUCGGUGUAAACAAGCAGCAAAUCCUCUCCCAAUUCCUAUUCCAGCUGCAAAUGUCACCAAACACAUUAGUUCUUCUAGUAAUCAUGAUUAAAAAGCCAAAUCAAGCAUUGCUAUCUUGGAUUACAGUCUCUUGGGUAACUGAGGCAAGACAUUCAACUUUAUUUCCACUACAAUCGUGCGGUAAUUCAAGCUUCUAAAGGAGGAAAGGAACCAUUUUUGAAAACAAUGGCGUGGGCUGCAGUGUGAACUCACCAGCACACUCCUAUUUCAGAAGUUUUUCUUUUUGUUUCUCAUAUAUCAAAUGAAGUAAGUAAGAGGCCCUGCCAUAAACCAUUCACCCAUCUCUGUGGACAAAGAAGGUCAGGAUGACAUUCACUGUUAGUGUUGUAAAGACUCCUUUUAGAAUGCAUUAUUUAUGGGUCAUUGUUUGCCUUCUGGUUUGGCUAACAUCAGCUUAAGUUUCCCUAAGUCAUUUCAUACCUUCUCAGCCUUCCUAACUGGAGCGGGAAGUUUGGGGUAAGACUGAUGAACUCAUAUUUAUUCCUU